rnacentral:snRNA from 1 species
GUGCUCUCUUCAGCAGCACAUACACUUUUUAAAAUCAGAAUGAUGCAGAGAGAUUAGCAUGGCCCCUGCACAAGGAUGAUACACAAACUGUGAAGCAUUCUAUAUUCUU